GUGGCUCCAUGGUAGAGCAUCUGCUCAGCAUGCAGAAGGUCCCAGGUUCAGUUCCUGACAUCUCCU
rnacentral:tRNA from 1 species